CGGCGCGCCAGAGCGCAGGACUUCCUGGGAGGCAGUCGAGGAGCCCUGGCUUUACAAAGAAAAGCAAAUGAAAGAUGCACUGCGAGAGGCGGGAGGAAGAAACCCUGAGUCUCCCGAGACUCAAAGUUCUCCUGCAGAAUAGAAGCCGAAUAUGACUGAGUUGAGAGAGUCGGAGGGAAGGGGAGUUGAUUUAAUGGACUCGGAUGGCCAUGGCAGUUUCUCUUCCAUUCUUCGGCCACACACACAGAAGCGCAAACUAUGUUUCAGGCGGAGUUUCGAUCUUGUCGCCCAGGCUGCAAUGCAAUGCUGCGAUCUCGGCUCACUGCAACCUCCGCCUCUCGGGUUCAAGCAAUUAUCCUGCCUCAGCCUCCUGAGUAGCUGGGACUACAGGCGCCCACCACCAUGCCCGGCUAAUUUUUGUAUUUUUAGUAGAGACGGGGUUUCACCAUAUUAGCCAGGCUGGUCUCGAACUCCUGACCUCAGAUGAUCUGCUCCCCUCGGCCUAGCUACAUCUUAUUAAUAAGCAUAAACUAAUUUUAUCUCAACAGUAAAGAUAUUUUCAAUAGGAAAAAAAGAAAAAAAAUGAUGUAUAUGAAGACUAAUAACGAGGGGGAAAGCAGGGAAAAAACGUAAGUAUAGUAUGAUUACCACUAAACAAAGAUAAAUGCAUAAUAAGGUAGGGGUUCAGGAGGGAAACCUGAAGGAAAUACCCCAAAAUACUGGCACUAGUGAUGUCAGGAUCAUGAAUUUACUGGUGUUUUUGCUUUGUUUUCCAGAGUUUCAGCUGUGUGAUUCUAUUACUCAAAUAAUGAAAUACACAUAUAUAUUUACACAUGUAUUCAAUACAUAUAUACAUAUAUUCAAUACAUAUAUAUGAAAUACAAAUGUAUGUGUAUAUAUGUGUGUAUUUCAUUAUUUAAGUAAUAGAAUCAUUUAAGUAAUAGAAUCACACUACUGAAACUCUGGAAAACAGGGCAAAAUAGAACAGAAUCACAGGACUUUAUAUAUAUAUAUAUGUUUAUAUAUAUAUGUCUAUAUAUAUAUGUCUAUACAUAUAUAUAAAGCUAAAUAAUGCCUUUUUAAAACAAAUUACCUACUUCCUAGCAGAUAGUGUUUUAUAUGCUCCAGAGCUGUUUGCAAUUAUUGCUAACAAUGAUUUCAUUCAAUCCAUCAUUUACUGAGAGCCAUAUCCCAGCCUCCAGGAGGAAACAAAAUAAAUGAGAUAAAGUCCCGUCCUCAUUAUGUCCCUUGAUAAUAACAAUGGUGGUGGUUCUCCCAUUGUAAAUCAGUGUGAGCAUUAAGGGUCACUGUAUCAGUCAGGAUGCCACCAGG
rnacentral:lncRNA from 1 species